GCAUGUCUCAGUACAAGCCAAAUUAAGGUGAAACCGCGAAAGGCUCAUUAAAUCAGUUAUGGUUCCUUAGAUCGUACCCACAAUUACUUGGAUAACUGUGGUAAUUCUAGAGCUAAUACAUGCAAACAGAGUUCCAACCGGAGACGGAAGGAGCGCUUUUAUUAGAUCAAAACCAAUCGGUGCUGCGUUGGCGUUUACGUUUUCGUAGUAUCGUUCAAAACUUUGGUGACUCUGAAUAACUUUUUGCUGAUCGCACGGUCUUGCACCGGCGACGCAUCUUUCAAAUGUCUGCCUUAUCAACUGUCGAUGGUAGGUUCUGCGCCUACCAUGGUUGUAACGGGUAACGGGGAAUCAGGGUUCGAUUCCGGAGAGGGAGCCUGAGAAACGGCUACCACAUCCAAGGAAGGCAGCAGGCGCGCAAAUUACCCACUCCCGGCACGGGGAGGUAGUGACGAAAAAUAACGAUACGGGACUCAUCCGAGGCCCCGUAAUCGGAAUGAGUACACUUUAAAUCCUUUAACAAGGAUCAAUUGGAGGGAAAGUCUGGUGCCAGCAGCCGCGGUAAUUCCAGCUCCAAUAGCGUAUAUUAAAGUUGUUGCGGUUAAAAAGCUCGUAGUCGAAUUUGUGUCCCGCGCCGCCGGUUCAUCGCUUCGCGGUGUUCAACUGGCGUUUCGCGGGACGUCCUGCCGGUGGGUUUAUCAACAUUAUCGUUUCGGCGGUGGUUGGUGGCCCAACUCGUAUCCGUUUUGCGCGGGUGCGAAUCCCAUCGCGGUGCUCUUUAUUGAGUGUCGAGGUGGGCCGGCACGUUUACUUUGAACAAAUUAGAGUGCUUAAAGCAGGCCAAUUUUGCCUGAAUAUUGUGUGCAUGGAAUAAUAGAAUAGGACCUCGGUUCUAUUUUGUUGGUUUUAAGAACCCCGAGGUAAUGAUUAAUAGGAACGGUUGGGGGCAUUCGUAUUGCGACGUUAGAGGUGAAAUUCUUGGAUCGUCGCAAGACGGACAGACGCGAAAGCAUUUGCCAAAAACGUUUUCAUUGAUCAAGAACGAAAGUUAGAGGUUCGAAGGCGAUCAGAUACCGCCCUAGUUCUAACCAUAAACGAUGCCAGCUAGCGAUCCGCCGACGUUCCUCCGAUGACUCGGCGGGCAGCUUCCGGGAAACCAAAGCUUUUGGGUUCCGGGGGAAGUAUGGUUGCAAAGCUGAAACUUAAAGGAAUUGACGGAAGGGCACCACAAGGAGUGGAGCCUGCGGCUUAAUUUGACUCAACACGGGAAACCUAACCAGGCCCAGACACCGGAAGGAUUGACAGAUUGAGAGCUCUUUCUUAAUUCGGUGGGUGGUGGUGCAUGGCCGUUCUUAGUUGGUGGAGUGGUUUGUCUGCUUAAUUGUGAUAACGAACGAGACUCUAACCUGCUAACUAGACGUUUUCGACAUCCUAAAGGUCCGUCAGUUCGUUCGAUUUCGGUCGUUCGAUGCUGUGCGCGAUUUUUACUGUCGGCGUACAAUAAAUUCUUCUUAGAGGGAUAAGUGGCUUUUAGCCACAAGAGAUUGAGCAAUAACAGGUCUGUGAUGCCCUUAGAUGUUCUGGGCCGCACGCGCGCUACAUUGAAGGAAUCAGCGUGUCUUCCCUGGCCGAGAGGCCCGGGUAAUCCGUUGAAACUCCUUCGUGCUAGGGAUUGGGGCUUGCAAUUGUUCCCCAUGAACGAGGAAUUCCCAGUAAGCGCGAGUCAUUAGCUCGCGUUGAUUAAGUCCCUGCCCUUUGUACACACCGCCCGUCGCUACUACCGAUUGAAUGAUUUAGUGAGGUCUUCGGACCGGUACGCGGGGGCGUUUCGACGUCGCCGAUGUUGCUGGGAAGAUGAUCAAACUUGGUUAUUUAGAGGAAGUAAAAGUCGUAACAA
rnacentral:rRNA from 1 species